rnacentral:rRNA from 1 species
UACAGAGGUCUCAAGCGUUGUUCGGAUUCAUUGGGCGUAAAGGGUGCGUAGGUGGCGCGCUAAGUCAGGUGUGAAAUUUCGGAGCUUAACUCCGAAACUGCAUUUGAUACUGGCGUGCUUGAGGACUGGAGAGGAGACUGGAAUUCACGGUGUAGCAGUGAAAUGCGUAGAGAUCGUGAGGAAGACCAGUGGCGAAGGCGGGUCUCUGGACAGUUCCUGACACUGAGGCACGAAAGCCAGGGGAGCAAACGGG